CCAAUCAUUUAUACACUAUUGUGGGGUAUGGUUGCAUAGCCUGCCAGUCGUGUAUACAUAAGUACUGGUGUGAAGGGGUUAUUGGAAACAAAAAUGAAAUUUGUUUUGAGCAAAAAAGCUUUAAAAAAAUAAUUUACCAAAUAAUAAAGUGUGUAUGAUGUAUGUCUGGUGACUGUGACAGGGUGAGUAAAGAGGUACCAGUGGCAGGGAGAGUGUGACAG